GAAUUGCGGCUUUGUUUGGAGCUGAGCAAAUUGUUAUUAUAUUUGCAGUUUGAUCUCUACUUAAGGUCCGUUGUGCCUGUAAAAAUAAAGUAGCUGCAGCUACUUAAAAACUGUAUAUUCCGUUCCAAGAAGAGAGGAGAGAACCCGAAAGAGAGACAAAGAGAAUCCCUUUCGCUCUCUUUCGCCCACUGAGAGUGCGUGGAAAUGAAAACAUUGCUUUCACCAUAUCGCGAUUUAGUCCGCAUAUUAGUUUAGUCGGCAUUUCGCUGGUAGAUAUUAAAUAAGUGCGUGGUGUCGUUGCAAUUGGCGGAUUAUAUAAGGGAUUCGAGUCGCAACUGCAUUGAUUUUCCAUUGGCCAUGGCCCGUGUCGUCGAGAGCAAUUUCGUGCCGAUCGCCGUGGGCGUGGUUGCCGUAGUUGCCGGCGCAUUGAUCCUCCACUAUCUGCUGAAUAAGAAGUCCACGAAGCCACGAAGGGAACCGAAUCGCACCGCCCGCCUGCGCACUCUGGUGGACCCCAAUGACAAGUAUCUGCUGCCCCUGAUAGAAAAGGAAAAUCUCAGCCACGACACCAGGCGAUUCCGGUUUGGAUUGCCCUCCAAGCAGCACGUGCUUGGAUUGCCUGUUGGCCAGCACAUCCAUUUGAUCGCCACCAUCGAUAAUGAGCUUGUCAUCAGGCCAUACACACCCAUCUCGUCCGACGAGGAUGUUGGCUACGUCGAUCUCGUGGUCAAGGUGUACUUCAAGGACACCCAUCCCAAGUUCCCUGCCGGCGGCAAGAUGACACAGCACCUAGAGCAGCUCGAGUUGGGCGACAAGAUAUCGUUCCGUGGUCCCUCGGGACGGCUGCAGUAUCUCGGCAACGGCACCUUCUCCAUCAAGAAGCUGCGCAAGGAUCCGCCCAAGCAUGUGACCGCCAAGCGGGUGAACAUGAUCGCCGGCGGCACUGGCAUUACCCCCAUGCUCCAACUGGCCAGAGAAGUGCUCAAGCGCAGCGACAAGGACAAGACUGAACUGGCGUUGUUGUUCGCCAACCAGAGUGAAAAGGACAUUCUGCUCCGCGCCGAGCUGGACGAACUGGCCCAGAAGUAUCCCGACCAGUUUAAGGUCUGGUACACCGUCGAUAAGGCCGGAGAAGCUCUCAAACGGAUGCCGCGAACGGGAAACGCGCGGUUCGUAGCCUGGUCCUACAACACUGGCCAUGUGAACGACGACAUGAUGAAGCAGCAUCUGUAUCCGCCCGAUGAGGACACUUUGUGCCUGCUGUGUGGUCCUCCGCCGAUGGUUAACUACACGUGUAUUCCGGGCCUGGAGCGACUUGGCCACCGGGCCGAGCAGCGGUUUAGCUAUUAGGACUAGCAGCUCUAGCUGACAAACUAGAUGCUAUCUCUGUGUUUUGCUUUGAUUUCACAAUGCCAAGCUAGUGGGAAAGAUUGGGUGCAGCAGGUUGGCCGUACAGCGUUGGCUUCAUCAAUGAGGACAUGAUUGCCGCCCACCUGCUUCCCGCCAAGGACGAUACCAGUGUGCUGCUCUGUGGCCCACCGCCCAUGAUCAACUUCGCC